UACAGAGGGUGCGAGCGUUAAUCGGAAUUACUGGGCGUAAAGCGUGCGUAGACGGCUAUCUAAGUCGGGUGUGAAAGCCCCGGGCUCAACCUGGGAAUUGCAUUCGAGACUGAAUAGCUAGGGUACGGUAGAGGGAAGCGGAAUUUCCGGUGUAGCGGUGAAAUGCGUAGAGAUCAGGAAGAACACCGGUGGCGAAGGCGCUCUGCUAGGCCGCAACUGACACUGAGGGACGAAAGCUAGGGGAGCGAAUGGG
rnacentral:rRNA from 1 species